UGCAAGUCGAACGGUAACAGGAAAUAGCUUGCUAUUUUGCUGACGAGUGGCGCACGGGUGCGUAACGCGUAUACAAUCUACCUUUUGCUGAGGGAUAGCCCAGAGAAAUUUGGAUUAAUACCUCAUGGUAUUAUUGAUAGGCAUCUAUUAAUAAUUAAAGGUUACGGCAAAAGAUGAGUAUGCGUCCCAUUAGCUAGUUGGUGAAGUAACGGUUCACCAAGGCAACGAUGGGUAGGGGUCCUGAGAGGGAGAUCCCCCACACUGGUACUGAGACACGGACCAGACUCCUACGGGAGGCAGCAGUGAGGAAUAUUGGACAAUGGGCGAGAGCCUGAUCCAGCCAUGCCGCGUGCAGGAAGACUGCCCUAUGGGUUGUAAACUGCUUUUAUACAGGAAGAAUAAGCCUUACGUGUAAGGUGAUGACGGUACUGUAAGAAUAAGGACCGGCUAACUCCGUGCCAGCAGCCGCGGUAAUACGGAGGGUCCGAGCGUUAUCCGGAAUUAUUGGGUUUAAAGGGUCCGUAGGCGGAUGAUUAAGUCAGGGGUGAAAGUUUGCAGCUCAACUGUAAAAUUGCCUUUGAUACUGGUCAUCUUGAGUUGUAUUGAAGUAGGCGGA
rnacentral:rRNA from 1 species